rnacentral:sRNA from 1 species
CACAGGCCCGCGCUGUCAAAGUGAACGUGACUGUCUAAGCCGCCGGGCGUGGCGAUUAGGCCUUCUCCGGCUCGCACAUCGGUGUUGGCGCUAAUGACUAAAUUGGGCGUGACGCCUUCCAUGAUGCCUGGAUUGCCUGCUUUGCCGAUGCCGACAAUUUUGCCGUCUUUAAUGCCAAUAUCUGUUUUGACAAUUCCUUGCACCGGAUCGAUGAGCAGUACAUUGGUAAUGACAAAAUCGAGUGCGCCGUCCGCAGCGGUUACGCCUGCGGCCAUACCAAGGCCGUC